rnacentral:rRNA from 1 species
CACGUAAUUAUCCGGGGCUUUCUUCUCCUAUACCGACACACACCACGCGAUUACUCCUCUUGCUGUUCUUCUAAGGCAACGUAGCUUUACAAUACGAAAACCUUCAUCACUCGCCCGGAGUUGCUCCGUCAGACUUGCGUCCAUUGCGCUGAUUCC